rnacentral:rRNA from 1 species
CUACGUGCCAGCAGCCGCGGUAAUACGGAAGGUUCGGGCGUUAUCCGGAUUUAUUGGGUUUAAAGGGAGCGUAGGCCGUGGAUUAAGCGUGUUGUGAAAUGUAGAUGCUCAACAUCUGACUUGCAGCGCGAACUGGUUUACUAGAGUGUGCGCAACGUAGGCGGAAUUCGUCGUGUAGCGGUGAAAUGCUUAGAUAUGACGAAGAACUCCGAUUGCGAAGGCAGCUUACGGGAGCACAACUGACGCUGAAGCUCGAAGGUGCGGGUAUCAAACAGGAUUAGAUACCCUGGUAGUCCGCACAGUAAACGAUGGAUGCCCGCUGUUGGUCCAUUAGGGUCAGCGGCCAAGCGAAAGCAUUAAGCAUCCCACCUGGGGAGUACGCCGGCAACGGUGAAACUCAAAGGAAUUGACGGGGGCCCGCACAAGCGGAGGAACAUGUGGUUUAAUUCGAUGAUACGCGAGGAACCUUACCCGGGCUUGAAUUGCAGACGAACGAUUCAGAGAUGAAGAGG